rfam:Candidatus Levybacteria bacterium RIFCSPHIGHO2_02_FTLL_40_18 rifcsphigho2_02_scaffold_244, whole genome shotgun sequence.
GGGCCUAUGGUUGAACGGUACAACACUGCAUUCGCAUUGCAGAGGUUCGGGUUCAAUUCCCGAUAGGUCCA